rnacentral:rRNA from 1 species
UACGGAGGGUGCAAACGUUGCUCGGAAUCAUUGGGCGUAAAGCGCACGUAGGCGGUUCGGUAAGUCGGAUGUGAAAUCCCUCGGCUCAACCGAGGAAGUGCAUCCGAAACUGCCGAGCUUGAGUACGGAAGAGGGUCUCGGAAUUCCCGGUGUAGAGGUGAAAUUCGUAGAUAUCGGGAGGAACACCAGUGGCGAAGGCGGAGACCUGGGCCGAUACUGACGCUGAGGUGCGAAAGCGUGGGGAGCAAACAGG